rnacentral:lncRNA from 1 species
GAACAAUGGAGUAUGAUAGAAGUUUUUUUUUUUUGGGCAGCAAACGGCUAUUCUAUUACUCAAACUUAAGGUGGUAUGGGUAACCAGACCGGAAUAUAACAACCAAUAUAACAUAAAGGUCUAUGAAAAGAACGUUUAUUUCUAGCUAACGAAUCUGCAAUCACAUUUUGUGUCUGUGGGAUGUAGUUGAUCCUGAAGUCUGAAAACCACAACCGAAGAGUUUGAAUG